UACAGAGGGGGCAAGCGUUGUUCGGAAUUACUGGGCGUAAAGGGCGCGUAGGCGGCCCGGUAAGUCAAAGGUGAAAUCCCUCGGCUCAACUGAGGAACUGCCUUUGAAACUGUCGGGCUUGAGGCCGGGAGGGGGUAGCGGAAUUCCCAGUGUAGCGGUGAAAUGCGUAGAUACUGGGAGGAACACCAGUGGCGAAGGCGGCUACCUGGACCGGUUCUGACGCUGAGGCGCGAAAGCGUGGGUAGCAAACAGG
rnacentral:rRNA from 1 species